GUGGGGAAUUUUGGACAAUGGGCGCAAGCCUGAUCCAGCAAUGCCGCGUGCAGGAAGAAGGCCUUCGGGUUGUAAACUGCUUUUGUACGGAACGAAACGGUCCGGGUUAAUACCCUGGGCUAAUGACGGUACCGUAAGAAUAAGCACCGGCUAACUACGUGCCAGCAGCCGCGGUAAUACGUAGGGUGCAAGCGUUAAUCGGAAUUACUGGGCGUAAAGCGUGCGCAGGCGGUUUUGUAAGACAGGCGUGAAAUCCCCGGACUCAACCUGGGAAUUGCGCUUGUGACUGCAAGGCUGGAGUGCGGCAGAGGGGGAUGGAAUUCCGCGUGUAGCAGUGAAAUGCGUAGAUAUGCGGAGGAACACCGAUGGCGAAGGCAAUCCCCUGGGCCUGCACUGACGCUCAUGCACGAAAGCGUGGGGAGCAAACAGGAUUAGAAACCCGGGUAGUCC
rnacentral:rRNA from 1 species